UAUUACGAGCACAAGCUUAAAAUCCAAAGGACUUGACGGNGUCUCACCCCCCUAGAGGAGCCUGUUCUAUAAUCGAUACUCCCCGCUUUACCUCACCACCCCUUGCUCAUGCAGCCUGUAUACCUCCGUCGCAAGCUUGCCAUAUGAAUGACUCUUAGCAGGCUCAAUGACUUUGUCCGUCACUACGUCAGGUCAAGGUGCAGCCCAUGAGGUGGGAAGCAAUGGGCUACAAUUUCUAACUUAGAACAUACGAAUAUCUAUAUGAAAACAUAGACAUGAAGGUGGAUUUAGUAGUAAAAGAAAAAAAUUGUGUUUCUUUUAAUAGCGGCCCUGAGAUGCGUACAAACCGCCCGUCACCCUCUUCGAUAGCGUCCCUUCAGUCGAUAACAACUUUAUGCACUUUAGAAGAGGUAAGUCGYAACAUGGUAAGUGUACUGGAAAGUGCACUUGGAAACA
rnacentral:rRNA from 1 species